rnacentral:rRNA from 1 species
AACAGUCCAUGUACCACCCUGAAUGUGUCUGAUCUCGUCUGAUCUUGGAAGCUAAGCAGGGUCUGUCCUGGUUAGUACUUAUAAGGAGAAAUGGCAUCAACGGUGU